rnacentral:rRNA from 1 species
UACGAAGGGGGGCUAGCGUUGCUCGGAUUGACUGGGCGUAAAGGGCGCGUAGGCGGUUCGUACAGUCAGACGUGAAAUUCCUGGGCUCAACCUGGGGGCUGCGUUUGAUACGUGCGGACUUGAGUGCGGAAGAGGGUCGUGGAAUUCCCAGUGUAGAGGUGAAAUUCGUAGAUAUUGGGAAGAACACCGGUGGCGAAGGCAGCUCGCUGGGACGGUACUGACGCUAAGGCGCGAAAGCGUGGGGAGCGAAUAGG